UACGUAGGGUGCUAACGUUGUUCGGAAUCACUGGGCAUAAAGGGCGCGUAGGCGGUUUGAUAAGUCCUGUGUGAAAGCCCCCGGCUUAACCGGGGAAGUGCACUGGAUACUGUCGAGCUAGAGUGUAGAAGGGGAGAGCGGAAUUCCUGGUGGAGCGGUGAAAUGCGUAGAUAUCAGGAGGAACGCCAGUGGCGAAAGCGGCUCUCUGGUCUACUACUGACGCUGAGGCGCGAAAGCUAGGGGAGCAAACGGG
rnacentral:rRNA from 1 species